CCCCCCCCCCCCCCCCCCCCCCCCCCCCCCCCCCCCCCCCCCCCCCCCCCCCCCCCCCCCCCCCCCCCCCGCCGGGAAGGGGAGUCGCGGCUCGGGAGAGGCGUCCCGAAGGAGUGAAUACAAAUCGGGGUGAUCCGGCGGGGACCGCACGCCUCUCACUGCGGCCCGUUCUCCCGCAGCAACGCGGGGCUGGUGGGUUUAGCCUCAAACAGCGGCUGCCGUGGGUUCCCCAGGCUCAGACCUGCGCUCGCACGCCUGACCGAGACUGAUAAAUCUUUCAUGUACUCACACAGGCUGUUUCUCAGGUAUAUGAGAUAUGCUUCGGGGAAAAGAGGACAACUGGCUUGAUUAAGUGCAUUUCAUUUAGGAGAUUUGUGGGCUGGUUUGUCCUGAAUGUCUGUUUACUGGCCUCCCCCAGUACACCAUGUUUCAGCAGAGCAGAAUAAAGAGGGUUUACACAGAAGUUGUGGCUGAAGAACAGCAACUUCACUUAGAAAGGAAGGACUACAACUCUCUAAGCUCCGCAGCUUGUCAGAUCCCGAUGCAUUGCCCAAACAUGAAGGUUUGUCUUAGGAGUUCCCAAAAGCUCCUUUUGGGAGCUGAGGACUUGCAAAGUGGCAGUGAACAGUGCCCUCUAACCACAUAGCUGUGUCUGCGAUGGAAGCUGCAUUAACUGUUUCAAUGGAGGAAAAAAGUCCUGCCAGCCCCAUGAUUAAUUGAUGAAACCUCAUUUCUGUGAGUUUCUGUCUCAUGCUUGACUGAGAGCUUGAUCUGAAUCUCGCCCUGCAAUUGGUUCAUUCUCUAUCCAACUGGGAGAGAAUGGGAUGAGUUCUGCCAUGGUGGGCAUAUGCAGCCUGCUGUGAUUUCCAGGCUGAGUUAGCAAACGAAGAGACCUCCUUCUUCCAAAUGUUAGGUUGUUUCGUGUUUGGCAAAACUGGUGUAGUCCAGUUUCCUACAGAUUCAUACCUGGUAUCUGGCAGAGGGUGGACACCCUCAGUGAAGAGGCUUGUAGGAUCUCACUGCACCAGGUUUAGCUCUUGGACCUUUAUCUCUCUGUUUGCUUUGUUUAAAACAAACCAGUGAGUUCAUUGUUUCCUGAGGUUGUAGAAGGUAAGAGACAGGACCAGGGGCAAGAAAGAUCCAGUGAGUUUAGUGGUGUCAGCCUCAAUUCUUUGGGGAAACAGAAUUUUAAAACUACCCUUUUGACCAGGAAGAGUUAAACCAAGAUGAAAUCUGGCAAGGAUUUGACCCUCCACCACUGGGACACGGGUGAUUCUGCACAGAAGCAGCACAGCUGGGACACCCAGUAAGAUUUCCUUUCUCCUUCCCACCCUAAAACAUGUUCUGCAGCGUGGUUUUCUAAAGUUCUGAGAGUUGAGGGUGUGUGGGAUACUCUUUCCAGAUCAGACAUCUGCAUAAAUUGCCAUAAUAAUACUGUAAAGCAGUAGGAAAAGCAGUUUUUUCCUCCUACAUGCUCUCUGCCUCUGCUCACUCCCAAUGCUCCUGAUAAUAUAAAACAUACAUAUUCUCCCAGCUUAUCAUUUAGUGGCCACAAUCCAAUAAACUCCUCAAGGCUUUCCCCUCCUACUCUCCCCAUAGCCCCCUUCUUGCUGCCAGCCUCCCAGACAGACAUCCCCAUCCCUCACUUGAGGCUGAGCUCUUUCCCUGCUGCAGGAAACUCACACAAGCGGACAUGGGGGGAAAGGGGGGGUGAAGCUGCCUGGAGAAGCAGGAGAGGAGCUGGUGCAUUGCGAGGGAAGGAUGUGGCUGCUAAGCUUCUGCCAAAAGUGGAGUUUAAAAAAAGCUGCUGCACAAUCCUGGGAUGAUGUUGAUGCAGGAGCGGCGCAAGACAGCAGCAACUGGUUCUCAUCAAGUGAGGACUGGUUGUAUCUGCAAGUAUGAUCAAGCCAUCCUAACAGCAAGGUCUGGAAGGACUGGCUAGUGUGGUUUCUGAAAUUCACAUGGCAGCAGAAGACAAAAUCCAUUCUCCGGCCUUUAUCCACGGGGUUCAAGACAACAUAAACAAUAAUAAAGAGCAGGGAUAACUAAAAGAGGAAGGCUGGUUUUGCGGGCAUGACAGGAGCAAAAAUAGACAUCUUUUAUAAAUAAAGAUGUCCUGGAAAUCAGAGAAUCCCACGUUUCAUGCUCACCAGUUCAGCUGUUCUGGCUGGGGGUCUUCUCCACCAGUAGUGCUCAGGGCAUUUGUGAAGGCAUAAAUGAGCAGUAAUAUAAGCACAUGCAUGAAAUUCCCUUCAUGUAAACCAGCCCCAUUAGUUAAUCUACUUGUGGAUGUCAUUUUAACCUACAGACAAUAGUUAAAUUAGGGCUGGGGGUUUGCUCAGAAUACGUUAAACCCAAGUAUUUGAAGAGAGCCGUGUGUAUAUUUUCAUUAAGCCCAAGACUGCUUUAUGUGUUGUAGAAGAAAUCAAAGUACACCAAUAUGACUUGAGAAAAGAAAGCUUUUGAGCUGACCUUCUUCCAGGAGAAUGAAUUCAUGUCUUCAGAAGUGAGCAAGUCUCACUUCAGUGAUCGUAUCUCAAAAAGAAAAAAGGCAAUAAGAAAAUGAGAAGAGACAUGGAGGAGGGCGGCAAGGACAGUGGAAGUGAUGGGAUAGAUACCAUGUGAGGAGGAAAGACUAGAAAAACAAGGAGGCUCUAGUUUGGAAGAACAAAACCUUGGGGCCAAAUAAAGACAGAGGAGUCUGAAGAGGUCAAGAGCGGUCUGGUAUGGACCUGGAAUUCUUUUUCCCUUUUCUUCUAACACAAGAACAUGGAGAGAAAUGUUCAGGAGCCAGGUCUGAAGCAGACAAAAGGAAGUACUUUUUCACACAACACAUAAUUACAUUGUGGAACUUAUUGUCACAGGAUGUCAUGGAGGCCAAAAGUAUAAAUGAAUGAGAAAAAAAACCAAAAGGGAUUACACAAAUUCAUGCAACCUCCGUUUAGGAAGUCCCUCAACUGCUGAUUGCUAGGAGCCGGGAGGAAAUGCCAGAGGAAGGAUCCCUUUAUACUCUCUCUCUUCCGAUAUCCCUUCCUAAGCGUCUGCAGCUGGCCACAGCCAAGCCCCAGUUGUUGCCCAAGGUAGAAGUUUAUUCUGA
rnacentral:lncRNA from 12 species